rnacentral:tRNA from 1 species
GGGAAGGUGGCUCAGUGAUAGAGUGCUUGCCUUGCAUGCAUGAGGCCCUAGGUUCGAUUCCUCAGUACCA